AUUGAACGCUAGCGGGAUGCCUUACACAUGCAAGUCGAACGGAGUGGCGAACGGGUGAGUAAUGUAUCGGAACGUGCCCAGUAGCGGGGGAUAACUACGCGAAAGCGUAGCUAAUACCGCAUACUCUUGGAGCGGCCGAUAUCGGCUUAGCGAGUUGGUGGGGUAACGGCUCACCAAGGCGACGAUCCGUAGCUGGUUUGAGAGGACGACCAGCCACACUUGGACUGAGACACGGCGCAGACUCCAACGUGAGGUAGCAGUGGGGAGUGUUGGACAAUGGGGGAAACCCUGAGCCAGCCAUCCCGCGUGUGCGGUGAAGGCCUACGGGUUGUAAAGCACUUUUGGCAGGAAAGCGGUACCUGCUGAAUAAGCACCGGCUAACUACGUGCCAGCAGCCGCGGUAAUAC
rnacentral:rRNA from 1 species